GGCUUCUAGCUUUAACAAACAUAUGUAUGUUUACUCUUAGUGUUUUAAAUUGUAUGUGUCGUUCGGUUGCUGUCGUAUUAAUGUAUACAUUUAAAAUCUUUUUCAAAACAAAAGGAUUGAUUGGACAGGAUAUAGAAAUAUUCACAUCUCUGGACUUCUCACGUCCGACAGUAUAUCUUUGCUAUAAUUGGGUGCGGCCGUUUAGCUGCUAGGAUGUAUAAAUUUACAGCCUCGUUUAGUCGAAAUAAAAAUGUCGUAUAUCCUAUGCAUAAUGUAGUGAGAGUUUCGCGUAUCUAUACGUUUAAAAACCAUUUAAAUAAAUGGUUCAAGGGAUAUCCGAACCUUGAAUAAGAUCUCUUAACAACAACAAAUGUAACAUGAAUCUUCAAAUAAGUCAUAUGGUUGAUUUUAACACAUUUGUUGCGCCAUUUGCAGUUGUAGAUGUCAUGAAAAAAAACCUUUAAUUUACAAAACAGAUCAGAAAGACA
rnacentral:lncRNA from 1 species